rnacentral:misc_RNA from 1 species
CAAUUGAUCCAAAUUCACAAGGUAAGCCAAUUACUGCUGAGACAGAUGGCCAGCAAGAGGGGGAGAGUGCUCCACCUGAGAGACAAGUCUCCCCGGAUAAGCUCUAUCGUGCAGCUUUAUUAAGGAACCGUUUUGCAGACACCAUAUUGAGGGCUCGAGAAAAGGCACUUGAAAAGGGUGAAAAGUGGGAUCCUGAGAAAUUGCGGAUGGAGAGGGAGGAACUUGAGCGGCGGCAAAAAGAAGAAAAGGCUCGGAUGCAAGCUGAGGCCAAGGCUGCUGAAGAAGCUCGAAGGAAAGCUGAAGCUGAAGCAGCAACUGAAGCAAAAAGGAAGAGGGAGCUGGAAAGAGAAGCUGCACGUCAAGCAUUGCAACAGAUGGAAAAGACUGUUGAUAUUAAUGAGAACUGUCAGUUUAUGGAAGAUCUUGAAAUGCUAAGGACUGCUCACGAUGAAGAGUUACCGAGUUUCAUGGAGGAGACAAGCCCAGAUUUCACGCUUCAGGGGAGCAUUAACCCACUGGAACAACUAGGACUAUACAUGAAGAAAGAUGAUGACGAGGAAGAAAUUGAACCACCCCAAAGUGUUUCAGAGCUGGAGAAAGAUGUUGAGGAAGGAGAGAUUGCCUGAUGAGGCUUUUGUUUAUAUUAUUCUGUCAAUUCAAGGAUUUUACAAAAUGGCUCUUCUGAAAGCUCUCUUCCAUGGUUCAGUUUUAUGGGAAGAUUAUGCUGUUACUCGUUCCUAAUAAGAUUCUCAGGAGAAACAUGAUCAGCAGUAUGGAUUGGCUGGGAUCUGUAUUGAUUCUCAGUCUUGG